rnacentral:rRNA from 1 species
AUGGCCGCCUCCUCGCCGCCGGAGCAGGAUCCUCCGCGCGAGCCCCCGCCGCCCGAGGCGGAGGCCGCCGCGCCGCCGGCGAGGAGGACGCGCCCGCCGCGCGCGUGCAGCCGCCCCCUCGCGCCGUCCGCGCCCUACCCCACGCCCCCGCCGCGGCGGCCGGGCCCGGGCCGCCGGAGGAAGAUCGCGGAGGAGGAGCCCGAGGAGCCGGAGCCGGACGCGCCGCAAUGCCGCGUCGUGACGCCGCUCGUCGCGGAGCCCGCGGACCCCGGCGAGCUGCCGCGGUGGAGGCUGCGGGGCAUGUGGGAGCUCGCCUCCGUCCUCAACUUCCUCCAGGUGUUCCGGCCAUUGCUCAACAUCGCGGUGGAGUUCACGGCGGAGGAGCUGGAGGACGCCCUCAUAGUGCCCAAUGGCACAUUGGAAGGCUUGCAUGUGCCGCUAUUAAGGUCGAUUCCUCCUGUAGCUCGAAUGUCCAUGGCAGACGGAAAAUGGGUGACUGUGUUAUGUAGAAAAUUGAAGGACUGGUGGCAUCUGGUUGCAGAAGACAAUCUACCAAUCGUUGCCUCACAUGGAGCGGAAAUUGAAACGUACAAGGAACUUGAGCCAGCGACUCGAUUAAUGAUCCUGAAAGCAAUAUGUGACAUACGUUGUGAGCAAGAGGAUGUUCGGAUCUUCGUAGAUAGUUGUCUAAAAAAGGGUUAUCAGCUCCGUGAUUUCUCUAAAGAACGAAUUGGGGGAGAUUCCCAUGGAAUCUCAUACUGGUAUGAUGAAGAUCCGAUUCUCGGGCAUCGAUUAUAUCGUGAAAUUAGACAAGUGGAGUAUGUGAAGGAGCAAACAAGAAAAUCUAAACGAAAGGGGUUCUUAGGUGUUCCAGUUGUAUCCUAUCAGUGGGAGACUGUCGCGACAAACUUUGUUGAAUUUGAAGCAGCAGCAGAAAAACUCUUUUCAAGUAGUAACAGGACAGAGGUCUCACUUGGAAAGAAGUUGAAGCUCAAUUAUCUCCCAGAGAUGGAAAAGACUCACAAGAAGAAGGAGAAGCUGCUAAAAAAGCAACAAAGAGAAGCCCUUCUCCUUAAUAGCUACUUGACAUUUGAUAGAUUCACCUCUGGCCGCUCCCAUCGUGAAAGAAAGCGUGUCACCUAUACUUUCGAUGAUUAUGACCGUUCAAUAAAUGAGGCCCUAAAAGCAAUAAAGAAAAGUGAGAACCCUGUUCAUGUGGUUGCCACUACCAACAGAGGAGUACUUGUCCCAACACGAGAGGCAUCAAGUAAUGGUACGUUAGCUGGACCCUCACCUGUAUGUAAUGGACGGCGUGGAGAAUCUCCACUGAAGUCAUAUAGCUACCAAGGGAGUGGUGGUGAGGAAAAGGCUGAGACCCUUGAUCGUAGGUCUCGUCAAAGAAAAAGAUCUCAAAGAUACACAACAGACUUUGUUGAGAAUGUCUCGGACAUCGACACGAACUUUGACAGUGAUGGCGAUAUCAUGGGUGAAGCUGUCUAUGACGAGGAGUAUCUUAGAAGUCGAAAACAACCCAAGGCAAGUACUUCAGAGUACGAUGGAGAGUUUCGAUCAGAAGACCAAGCGGAGUAUUCUUUGAGCAGUGAAGAUGAAGAGGGGAUUCAACGGUCCAAAAGGUUGCCAAGCCGCAGCCCUCAAGGGACCAGGCUGAAAUCCAUGGAUGUAAUCCAAACAGGCAUCAAGCGAAAUAAGCGUUCUGCCCGGCCCCAUAUGAACCAUCAGCGAUGCUCUGGUAAAGAUUCCGGAUUGGGAAAGCCAGGUGAAUUGAACACAUCUGAUCCAGAUGCCGGCUCUGGUGCACUAGACAGUGCAAAUACCUCAAUAAAAAGUCAAGAGCAGCGCCUGCUUCACAUAGUGAAGAUGCACGCUCCUGGCAGGGAAGAGAGCAAAGUUGGUGGGAGAAGAUUCCUCCAUCUUAAUUUGAUUGCACCUGCUGGUGGUUUUGACGGUGCGCCAGUGCGAUCUUGA